CCGCACCCUGUACAAAAACCCAGAGAAAUGCUGGACUGAAAGUAUCCAAAAGCCGGGUGUGCAGUGGUUGGGAACAGCAGCCUCCUCGGUAGUGUAUGCAGCCUGUUGACUGUCUGGGUGGCCCUCAGGGACCUUGGAGACAGCC
ensembl:snoRNA SNORA70 Small nucleolar RNA SNORA70